UGGGGAAUAUUGGACAAUGGGCGAAAGCCUGAUCCAGCAAUGCCGCGUGAGUGAUGAAGGCCUUAGGGUUGUAAAGCUCUUUUACCCGGGAUGAUAAUGACAGUACCGGGUGAGGAAGUCCCGGCUAACUCUGUGCCAGCAGCCGCGGUAAUACAGAGGGGGCAAGCGUUGUUCGGAAUUACUGGGCGUAAAGGGCGCGUAGGCGGCCUGUUAAGUCAGACGUGAAAUCCCUCGGCUCAACCGGGGAACUGCGUCUGAUACUGGCGGGCUUGAAUUCGGGAGAGGGAUGUGGAAUUCCAGGUGUAGCGGUGAAAUGCGUAGAUAUCUGGAGGAACACCGGUGGCGAAGGCGGCAUCCUGGACCGACAUUGACGCUGAGGCGCGAAAGCCAGGGGAGCAAA
rnacentral:rRNA from 1 species